rnacentral:rRNA from 1 species
CGCACGGGUGAGUAACGCGUAGGUAAUCUACCCUUAUAUUUGGGAUAACAUUGGGAAACUGGUGCUAAUACCGGAUACCCUUCUUUUCUGCCGGGUUAAGGAGGAAAGGUGGCCUCUUCAUGAAAGCUACCGUAUAGGGAUGAGCCUGCGUACCAUUAGCUAGUAGGUGGGGUAAUGGCCCACCUAGGCUACGAUGGUUAGCGGGUCUGAGAGGAUGAUCCGCCACACUGGAACUGGAACACGGACCAG